AUGAGCGCGCGAGGGCCACGGGUUCGCGCCCGCGGGAGGGUCGGAAGAACGGCCACUCUUAUCCAGACGAGUGUGAUAUUUGGCCUUGUCGACGCGCUCGAGGCAUUUUUUGGCCUCGAUGUGGCCAGCUUGUGUACGUGUACGUGUACGGGAGGGGUGCCGGGGACGCGGCUGAGCAGCGCCCCCUCAGUCAGUCAGCACGUCGAGGAUAAGGUGGGAUAA
rnacentral:rRNA from 1 species